GAAAAUAAAAGUCUUAUCGCUUUUUAAAGAGGAAAGUCCGAACAACACAGAGCAACGUGCUUCCUAACGGGAAGGGGAGAAAUCCACAGAAAGUGCCACAGAAAAUUACCGCCUUCGGGUAAGGGUGAAAAGGUGGGGUAAGAGCCCACCGCAAAUUUGGUGACAAGUUUGGCUAGGUAAACCUCACGUGUUGCAAAAUCAAAUAGGUCGGUGCAGUAAUGCACAGGUUGCUCGCCUGAUGCCGAUGGGUAGAUUGCUAGAGACUUUCAGUGAUGAAAGUCCAAGAUAAAUGAUAAGAGAGCUUUUAGCUUACAGAAUUCGGCUUAUAUUUUAUUUUCUCCU
rnacentral:RNase_P_RNA from 1 species